rnacentral:rRNA from 1 species
CGAACGCCGGCGGCGUGCCUAAUACAUGCAAGUCGAGCGGACAGAUGGGAGCUUGCUCCCUGAUGUUAGCGGCGGACGGGUGAGUAACACGUGGGUAACCUGCCCGUAAGACUGGGAUAACUCCGGGAAACCGGGGCUAAUACCGGAUGCUUGAUUGAACCGCAUGGUUCAAUUAUAAAAGGUGGCUUUUAGCUACCACUUACAGAUGGACCCGCGGCGCAUUAGCUAGUUGGUGAGGUAACGGCUCACCAAGGCGACGAUGCGUAGCCGACCUGAGAGGGUGAUCGGCCACACUGGGACUGAGACACGGCCCAGACUCCUACGGGAGGCAGCAGUAGGGAAUCUUCCGCAAUGGACGAAAGUCUGACGGAGCAACGCCGCGUGAGUGAUGAAGGUUUUCGGAUCGUAAAACUCUGUUGUUAGGGAAGAACAAGUACCGUUCGAAUAGGGCGGUACCUUGACGGUACCUAACCAGAAAGCCACGGCUAACUACGUGCCAGCAGCCGCGGUAAUACGUAGGUGGCAAGCGUUGUCCGGAAUUAUUGGGCGUAAAGCGCGCGCAGGCGGUUUUUUAAGUCUGAUGUGAAAGCCCCCGGCUCAACCGGGGAGGGUCAUUGGAAACUGGGGAACUUGAGUGCAGAAGAGGAGAGUGGAAUUCCACGUGUAGCGGUGAAAUGCGUAGAGAUGUGGAGGAACACCAGUGGCGAAGGCGACUCUUUGGUCUGUAACUGACGCUGAGGCGCGAAAGCGUGGGGAGCGAACAGGAUUAGAUACCCUGGUAGUCCACGCCGUAAACGAUGAGUGCUAAGUGNUAGAGGGUUUCCGCCCUUUAGUGCUGCAGCCAAACGCNUUAAGCACUCCGCCUGGGGAGUACGGUCGCAAGACUGAAACUCAAAGGAAUUGACGGGGGCCCGCACAAGCGGUGGAGCAUGUGGUUUAAUUCGAAGCAACGCGAAGAACCUUACCAGGUCUUGACAUCCUCUGACAACCCUAGAGAUAGGGCUUCCCCUUCGGGGGCAGAGUGACAGGUGGUGCAUGGUUGUCGUCAGCUCGUGUCGUGAGAUGUUGGGUUAAGUCCCGCAACGAGCGCAACCCUUGAUCUUAGUUGCCAGCAUUCAGUUGGGCACUCUAAGGUGACUGCCGGUGACAAACCGGAGGAAGGUGGGGAUGACGUCAAAUCAUCAUGCCCCUUAUGACCUGGGCUACACACGUGCUACAAUGGGCAGAACAAAGGGCAGCGAAGCCGCGAGGCUAAGCCAAUCCCACAAAUCUGUUCUCAGUUCGGAUCGCAGUCUGCAACUCGACUGCGUGAAGCUGGAAUCGCUAGUAAUCGCGGAUCAGCAUGCCGCGGUGAAUACGUUCCCGGGCCUUGUACACACCGCCCGUCACACCACGAGAGUUUGUAACACCCGAAGUCGGUGAGGUAACCUUUUGGAGCCAGCCGCCGAAGGUGGGACAGAUGAUUGGGGUGAAGUCGUAACAGGGAAAACCGGAAAAGGGUAACCCCCCGGCCCUUUACCGGCCCCUAAAGGCCGUUUAAGGAUGGGAGAGGUGGCCCGUCUCCAAUGGCUUGUGCCGCCCCCUCCCUUCGCCGUUUUGCCGGGCUGCUGGGGGAAAAGGCCUCCCCCCCCUUUUUGGGGGCGGCGGUUCCCCCUUUU